rnacentral:lncRNA from 1 species
UGAAGGCCAAGGGAGCAAACGGCGAGCAAGCUCCCUUCUGACACAACCCCUUUUAAUCUGGAGUAUUACCAGAAGAUGCUAUCCACAGUUAGGGUUGGUCCUCCCUCAUCCAUUAAAGCAAUCAGCUGGGGUCGUUCUUCAGGAGCAGGAGAAAUGGCUCUGGAGGUAAGGACACUUGCCCAGAUGAUGAGUUGAGUCAUAUCCUCAGUACCCAUCCAGUGGAAAGAGAGAACCAACAGACUAUACUCCAGUUUUCACAGGCAUGACACAACACAUCUAAGCUCAUAUUCCCUAUCCC